rnacentral:rRNA from 1 species
GGCGAGAGGGACCCACCCGUUCCCAUCCCGAACACGGCAGUUAAGCCUCUCAGCGCUGAUGGUACUUGGACCGUAGGGUCCUGGGAGAGUAAGUCGUUGUCGGAU